CUGAGCAGUCUGGUUAUGACUAUCAUGCUCCUGCCACUUCUCUGCUCAGCCGUUACUCCUGCCUUUCAUAAGCUCUGAUCUCCCUUGAUCCCUGGCUAGGGUCAGCUUUACACACAGGGAAAGAAGACUGCUGACCGUGGUGUGAUGCCAAGGCUUCAGGAAGGGUUCUCAUUCCCAAAUACUUUCUUUCUCUUUGUGCCACUUUCCUUGGAGUCUUCUUGGAAAGCAAAGCCUCAGCUACCUGGUUCACUGCUUGAGGUCGUGAUGGAUGCGUAGAGUAUUUUCAGUUUUUCAAAAGGUUUUAUGGAAAUGCUGUUGUUUCUGUGUUGCUCAGAGUCUAGUGGGGGAGUCGGAAGCAUGGGGUUAUGGUUGUGGCAGAAGCUUCCAAGGAAAAGCUCAGGAUGCAGGAAGAAUGCCUGAGGGGAGGCCUUUGGCUGGGAGCACGGAGGGGUCCAGGAGAGGAACUCUUCAGGCAGAGCCAACAGCAUCUCGGGUAAUUGUUUCCCCAAAAAGACUUGGGUAUAGUGGAAUGAAGUCACCAGAGACGUGCCUAAACAAUGACAAACACCGGUCCUGGGUGCGCCGAAACCCUGGUAACCAGUUACUCAGACUGCGGGGCUGAUUUUAUCUUUCCUGAAGCAGCCGCGGAGCAAAUUCAGUGAUGGCACGCCCCCUGGUGGUGAUACGAGGUUCUACCAGGCAGAAAGGACCGUUCUGGGGAGCGACUCCUCUGGGUGGAACGGAGAACGGGAGGAGGAGGAGGUUUCCGGACGUUCUCAGCGGCACAUAUUCAUGGCUAAUAAUAAAUGUUGAUCUGUUGAUUGAAAUAUGAAAUAAAAGUGAUUAAUAUAACCAUUAGUAAUCAAGGUAUUGGAAUGUGAGAAUUUUAAUAAAAGGUAAAUCAUCAGCCAAGGCAGGAAGAAAGCAGGGAGAGUUGGUCUGAUAAGAGAAAUAACUUUUGAGAGCGUCCAUAUACUUUCUGCUUUGACACUGUGGGUAUUAUAUACUGUCUUUGUUUACCUAAGGCAGCCUCUCUUUUUAUUUUGAAAUUUUUCAAAUAUACACAAAACAGUGAAAAGAACUAUAAAUC
rnacentral:lncRNA from 10 species